ACGGUGACGCUUCCGGAUACAGUGCGUUCUGCACUGAGGAUUCUUUAAAGGCGGCGUGCCGGCGUUUCCUCUCCGAGUCAAAACAACUUCCGCUGACUGUUGCAGUGAAGGCUGCGGACAACCCGAUCACUGCCUCCCAGGAACCGAGAGAUGUUCGCAUCAGCGACCUGCCGGCCGCUAUUCUAGGAUGUAUUUUGAGGAACCUGGAUGUGGGCACUCAACUUUACACAAGCCAAGUGUGUGUCUUAUGGAGGCUAGUGCUACAGGAACCCGUCAGUCAGCAUCAUGUCAUUGUCGUCAUCCGCCCGGUGACCAUAAAAGAGUCCUGGGACUACUGCAUAAGUACAGAACUGAACGCC